UUGGAGGGCAAGUCUGGUGCCAGCAGCCGCGGUAAUUCCAGCUCCAAUAGCGUAUAUUAAAGUUGUUGCAGUUAAAAAGCUCGUAGUUGAAUUUCGGGAUCAAUAUUUCGGUCAUGCCGUUGGUAUGCACUGUUAUCAUUGAUUUCUCACCUUCUAAAGAACCGUAAUGCCAUUAAUUUGGUGUUACGGGGAAUUAGGACUGUUACCUUGAAAAAAUUAGAGUGUUUAAAGCAGGCUCACGCUUGAAUACAUUAGCAUGGAAUAAUGAAAUAGGACAUCCGAUUCUAUUUUGUUGGUUUCUAGGAUCGAUGUAAUGAUUAAUAGGGAUAGUUGGGGGCAUUAGUAUUCAAUUGUCAGAGGUGAAAUUCUUGGAUUUAUUGAAGACUAACUACUGCGAAAGCAUUUGCCAAGGAUGUUUUCAUUAAUCAAGAACGAAAGUUAGGGGAUCGAAGACGAUCAGAUACCGUCGCAGUCUUAACCAUAAACUAUGCCGACUAGGGAUCGGAUGAUGUUAAUUUUUUAAUGACUCAUUCGGCGCCUUACGGGAAAC
rnacentral:rRNA from 1 species